rnacentral:rRNA from 1 species
CGCAUCUGUGCAUGCAGCAUAUCAAUAAGCGGAGGAAAAGAAACUAACAAGGAUUCCCUUAGUAACGGCGAGUGAAGCGGGAAGAGCUCAAAUUUGAAAUCUUCAAGGUUUUACCUUGACGAAUUGUAGUUUAAAGAAGUGUUUUCUGUUGAAGUUUUGGUAAAAGUUCUUUGGAAUAGGACAUCAUAGAGGGUGAGAAUCCCGUAUUUGACCAUUAUUUUCAGCUGUGUGAUACACUUUCAAAGAGUCGGAUUGUUUGGGAAUGCAGUCCAAAAUGGGUGGUAAAUUUCAUCUAAAGCUAAAUAUUGGCGAGAGACCGAUAGCGAACAAGUACCGUGAGGGAAAGAUGAAAAGAACUUUGAAAAGAGAGUUAAACAGUACGUGAAAUUGUCAAAAGGGAAGCGUUUGACACCAGUGUUGUUUUCUCGAAAAUCAAUUAAAAAGAGUUAGAUUUUGUUGUGUAUUGACCUUAACAGCUUGCAUUUCAAUUUUCUUGCUUUUUUUAAUGCACUUUUCGUUUAACAAGUCAACAUCAGUUUCUUUUGUUGUAAAAAGGUCAUUGGAAGGUGGCUUUCUUUUCGGAGAAAGUGUUUAUAGCCUUUGACUCCUGCAAUCGGAGAGACUGAGGUCUGCAGCGUAGAUCCUUCAGGGGUUAGAUACAUUUGUGCUAAGUUAUAGCUUUUUAUAGACAACUUGUUGACUAUGAUUAGUCUUGUAGCUUACUCGCUUAUGCUAUUUUACCUACGCUUAGGAUGUUGACACACGCGCGUGCUCG